GUAAAUUAAUAUAUUGUUUCAGAAUGCAAAUAGUGGUUGUUUAGGGACAGGAAUCAAGGAACUGAUGGAUUUCAAGGGAGCAGGAGGAGUCUCAGAAGUCUGCAUAAAGGCAAACAGUUAACCAAAACCUGAAUGAAAGUUUGAGUGAGAGUAUUCUUCCUAGAAGGGUUUGACAGAAAAAGAAAAAA